rnacentral:lncRNA from 1 species
CAGGUUUCUGCCCAUUCACAAGCUUCUGCCCAGACACAGGCUUCUGCCCAUCCACAGGCUUCUGCCCAUUCACAAGCUUCUGCCCAGACACAGGCUUCUGCCCAGACACAGGCUCCUGCCCAUCCACAGGCCUCUGCCCAUUCACAAGCUUCUGCCCAGACACAGGCUUCUGCCCAUUCACAGGCCCAUUCUACCCAUCCACAGGUUUCUGCCCAUUCACAAGCUUCUGCCCAGACACAGGAUUCUGCUCAGACACAGGCUUCUGCCCAUUCACAAGCUUCUGCCCAAGUAAAGGUCUCUGCCUAUCCACAUGCUUAUUCUGCCCAUCCACAGGCUUCUGCCCAUUCACAGGCUUCUGCCCAUUCACAGGCUUCUGCCCAUUCACAAGCUUCUGCCCAGACACAGGCUUCUGCCCAUCCACAGGGUUCUGCGCAGACACAGGCUUCAGCCCAUUCACAGGUUUCUGCCCAUCCACAGGCUUCUGCACAGACACAGGCUUCAGCCCAUUCACAGGCAUCAUUCACAGGCUCUUUCCCACCCAACAGCUUCAGCCCAGACACAGGUGUCCCUACAAUAUACACUGAGCAAGCAUAACAUUAUGGCCACCUACUUUCACUACGUUCUUCAAUGGUCAGGACCCAACAGGACCACCAAAAAGCAGAACCCUUGGCUGCCCAAUCCCACUGUUGGACAUCUAACAUCACACAGAGUUCAUAAUCAGUUGAACCGGGAGUAAAGGUGGAAAGAAAGAGCUCAGAAUUACGUCACUUUUAAAACUCUGAUGUUUUGAUAUUAUGUUUCCAUCAGCUUUUUUUUCUUUGGUAGGCUGAUUAAGACUGC